GGAAAAUGCAUAUUUAGAGUGUUUCAAAAUGCAAGGAUGUGGUUAUAGCCUAGCCUGAUCCUAUCUUCCAUAACUGAAGAGGGUCUCUUUACCAAUCUCGGUAUAAAUGGAAAGUUGUGUCCCAAAUGGAAGAGGCGAAACACAAAUAUGUCAUGAUUCUUACUACUGGAACAACUUUUGAAAACUCAUCAAUCCAAGCCCUCAAAUUCAACAGGCACGCCACAAAUCAAGCCGAGAGAGCAUUACAUGUACUAUCUAAAAAUGAUGUGUCAUAUGAUACAGGAACCUUAUCCAUUCACAACUGAAAGCUAAACAUGAGAUAUCAAACCCAAUUGUUCCUUUUUAUCGACAAGGUCCAAAGACAAUAAUUAACCAAGACCAAUAGAUAAGCAGUGGCAAAAUUCACAAGUAGCAUGCACAUUUUGCAUAUCAAAUUAAAAACUUCAUCUCUUCUAUUGCCAUGGAAGUCCAAGCUCAAAUUAGAUCUGCCACAUUCAUAGGCAUUUCAUUUAUCUGGGUACUGUAGUACUGCUCUAUAACUCGUAAGAUUUUGAUAUCAUCACUUUUAACAAAGUUGAUUGCAACGCCUUGCACGUCAUCAUAAAAUUAAGUAAUUACAAAUAAAUAUCAUAUAAGGAUAAACUCAAAAAUAUAACACAAAAAGAAAGCAGAUGUUACAGGAUAGAUUAAAACAAAAUAUGAUAAAAGUAAAUAAUUUAACAAGUUUCAGUUAAUGAUGAUGUGUUGGAUCUACAGCAGUUAAUAUCCAGAUAUCUACAUGUUGAAAGUAUUACUAGACCAAUGUUUAAACUCAUACUCGGAUGCAAACAAAACGAUAAUUAACUUGAGUUAAUUUUUAGAUGUUUCGUGAAUAAUUUCUCCACCCAAAAAUGAUAGCAUUAAGAUUUUAAAAAUUGCAUAUUCAAGAAUCAAAAUUAUUUAACAAAAAUUAAGAAUAAUAAUGUUCACUAAUUCACACACAUUAAUUUUCAUGCAUUUUAAAUAGAGGGCAAUGACUAUUCUCUUAAACUUUUGUGCCAAGAAGUAAACUGAAAAACAAUGAGGUAACAUCUGAAUAAAAUGCUAUAUAAUUGAACAUUAGAGAAUCUAGUGAAAAUCUUAAAGGAUUGUGCAAGUACCUUUCUCCCGAAACUGCUAGAUAGUCCAAUACGAUGAAUGUAAAGCUCCCUAUUGUUGGGAAGGUCAUAAUUGAUCACCAGGAAAGCCUACAAGAAUGAAAUGUGAAGAUAGAAAAAAUGAGAUUACACUCCAUCGUAAAGCCAUUUCAUCUAUAUUAUAUUGCACAUCUUGGACACGCGUUUCCCUGUAAAACUGAGAAAGAAAAAGAGGAUUCAAUCGAAA
rnacentral:lncRNA from 1 species